rnacentral:ncRNA from 2 species
CAAUCUGGAGAGAGGCGCCUGAGGGCGUCCACCGAAGGAGAAAUCCUGGCGUCGUUUCGGCGUCUGGGAGAAGCUCUCAGGUAACCGCGACAGAUGG